UACGUAGGUCCCGAGCGUUGUCCGGAUUUAUUGGGCGUAAAGCGAGCGCAGGUGGUUUAUUAAGUCUGGUGUAAAAGGCAGUGGCUCAACCAUUGUAUGCAUUGGAAACUGGUAGACUUGAGUGCAGGAGAGGAGAGUGGAAUUCCAUGUGUAGCGAUGAAAUGCGUAGAUAUAUAGAGGAACACCGGUGGCGAAAGCGGCUCUCUGGCCUGUAACUGACACUGAGGCUCGAAAGCGUGGGGAGCAAACAGG
rnacentral:rRNA from 1 species